rnacentral:lncRNA from 1 species
GAAGAGGCUGUCACAGGAGGCAGGUGGGGGUUGUGCCGCCCCUGGCUGGGGGGUGAGCACAGGCUCCUGGCCUCUGCAAGUGUCCACACCUCACCCAUGCCCAGGCUCAGGCCAGAGGCAGGACAUCGACAACCAUGUGAAGCCUGGUGCCAGGGCAGGGGCCCUGGAUCAGCCAGCGGCACCUGCAGACUCCGACCUGGGGUGCUCAGGAGCACAGCCCUGCUUCACAAGGAGCACUGGUCACGACUCAAGUGGACAGUGGGGUCAGGCACAAGGGAGUCAAGUGCUGCGUGCUAGGGUCUCCAUCCUGGGGCAAAGGGCAGGGAAGGGGGGUGUAGGGAAUGCAACAACACUGCCCGGGCUGGCCCGCCGGGUGCCCACCAACACCACUCCCUCGAAUCCCAAGUCCAGACAACCAGGCAGCCCGAGGCCAGCGCAGACUUUGGGAAGGAAGUAGCAGGAAGCAGGGCAGGGCUGUUUGUUAUUUUGGUCAAUUCCUGGGAGUGACGCUGGACUGGGCCGGGCUGCACUCAGGGCUACCACCUUGACCCUCCACAGUGGGAUUCAGAGACGUCCACCUUCUGCAGGAUCCGACCCCAGCCCUCACCUGGGCACGGCAGACCCUGGUCCAGCCCACCUCCAGCCUCUUCUUGUCUAUCCUGUCACCUCUGCCUUUGGCAGAAAGGACAACUCCCAGCAGGCUGUGUUCCAAGGGUGACCCACCGAGGACCUCAGCGCUGUGACAAGAAGCAAGGCCGUGAAUCCGAGAGGGAGGCCAACAUAGGUGUGUGCUGGUGCCGCCAAAGGAAGUGCCUCUCAGCCAGUCUCCCUCCAUCCACAAGCACCGCGGGGACACCCUGCCAGGACAGCUGCCUGCUCUGCAAUUCAAAAUGCUGGCCCAUGUCCAGCGGCCUGGGAGAGAUGUCUGUCCUGCAGGAGAGCCAGCUGUCCGUGCCGCUGCUGCCCUGCAGAAACCAGAUCCCAACAUGCUCACCCCUGGAUGGGGCUCCACUGGGAGGACUCAGCCAGGACACAGUCCUCCACCCUGGUGUGGCAUGUGCACAGUGUGGGGACGGAAAAGCGCCAACAGCAAGGGACCAGUCUCCCUGUUCUGGAAUAUCCACUUGGCGAAAUUUGGGCCACUUUCCAAAGCCUCGUCUCCAAGGACUGGGGAAGGACAUGGACAUAUGGCAUUAAAGCCAAGAGGGAAAUAAACCAGGAAACAAAGGGACCGGGUUAGGAGAAGCCUGGCUGCCCUGUUCAAGUCACAGGCUCUGCAGCCCCAAGAGACAGAGAGGAGACCACCAGAGACUGACCAGGUACCCAGCAGAGGCUGUCCGCCCGGCCUUUCCUCCUGUUUUCUAACGAGCAUCCACUAUUUUUCCUUUUAAUUAAUAAGAGCCUUUUGGAAAAAUAAAAUAAAUAAAUUCAGCGUGCUGCCAGACCUCAUGGCAGGCAUGUGCACGCGCCCGUGCCAAGAGCGUCUUCAUCAACGCCUGGGGCACCUUCUCUGGGAAGAGUGGGCUUCCGAGCCAGGACCCUGCCCGGCCUCCCAGUUCCAUUCAUCCCACUGGGUGUGACUGCUUGCAGACAGACGUCACCAGCACCCCAGACCCUCUUCACAUAGCGCCCAACAGCAGCCCAGGCCUCUCCCUUGCAAGAGCUGCCUCAGAUGUUCACAGAGCGCCCAGACAAGGAGCAGCCUUGACUCAGCCCCUUCCUCCCGGACACAUGGAGGGAAGGGUUCUCCCCUUCCAGCCAGCCUGGGCCCAGGGGGCACACUAAGUGGACAGCCCACCACAUGGCCUCAGCCUGUGCGUCUGUGGUCACUGUCUUAUCUCCUGGGUUUUCUUAUCUCCCAGGCGCGUGGGCACCACAGUGACAG